CGAGGGGUAGUGGAAGCUUGCUUCCAUGAGACCGGCGCACGGGUGCGUAACGCGUAUGCAAUCUGCCUCUCACUGGGGAAUAGCCCGGAGAAAUCCGGAUUAAUGCCCCAUGGUAUUUCGGGACGGCAUCGUCCUGUUAUUAAAGAUUUAUCGGUGAGAGAUGAGCAUGCGUCCCAUUAGUUAGUUGGUAAGGUAACGGCUUACCAAGACGAUGAUGGGUAGGGGUCCUGAGAGGGAGAUCCCCCACACUGGUACUGAGACACGGACCAGACUCCUACGGGAGGCAGCAGUGAGGAAUAUUGGUCAAUGGGCGCAAGCCUGAACCAGCCAUGCCGCGUGCAGGACGACGGCCCUAUGGGUUGUAAACUGCUUUUGUACGGGAAGAAACACUCCAACGUGUUGGAGCUUGACGGUACCGUAAGAAUAAGGAUCGGCUAACUCUGUGCCAGCAGCCGCGGUAAUACAGAGGGUGCAAGCGUUAAUCGGAAUUACUGGGCGUAAAGCGCGCGUAGGUGGUUUGUUAAGUUGGAUGUGAAAUCCCCGGGCUCAACCUGGGAACUGCAUCCAAAACUGGCAAGCUAGAGUAUGGUAGAGGGUGGUGGAAUUUCCUGUGUAGCGGUGAAAUGCGUAGAUAUAGGAAGGAACACCAGUGGCGAAGGCGACCACCUGGACUGAUACUGACACUGAGG
rnacentral:rRNA from 1 species